UUUUUUUUGAAAAAAAAAAAAUUAAUGCAUAAAAUAAAGAUGCAGAAUACAUGCGCUUGUUUUCUUCAAAUCUUGUGUAUGAUAACUUGCGCACCAAACUGAGGUUGAAGAGUAAGAGCAACGUUAGGAGAAUGUUUGUAGGUGGGGGAUAGCUCAAAUGAGAAGUGUUGCAAAAUCAAAGCUAGUGCUAAUUUAGCUUCAAUCAUAGCAAAGUUUUGUCCAAUGCACGUUCUNNNNNNNNNGUUCUUGGUCCCCAACCGAACGAAAAGAAUGGAGAUUGAAGGUCCUUGGAUGCCUUGGAAAUCCCUUCAGAAAAUCUUUCAGGAUUAAACUCUGUCGCAU
rnacentral:misc_RNA from 1 species